rnacentral:lncRNA from 7 species
GAGCCCUCCGAUAAAGCUGCCAGGGUCGAAACGCCAUUGGCGUGAGGUGCGUAGGUAGGGAAACUCGACGACACCGCUGUUGUUCCGCGUCUGCGCUAAUAUUCUGGUGGCCGCGGUAGAUCGAGGGGUUGCUCUUGAUGGUGGGCAACCUAGUCGAGGCAUCGGCAAGCCUGGGGGAGCCCUGGAACUUCACCAAUUGCUCACCGGAGAAUCACAUCCGCCGCGGGCCACACCGCCCCGUGGCUGUGGCUCGUCUCGACACCACCCCGGGUAAGUAGUUACCUAAUCGGUUCGCCUAGCCAUCCUCUCCACAAUUUUACGAAGAAAUCGCGAGUAUAGUGCUCGGUCUUCGGAUCGCCUGAACACUGGUGAUAGGGCUACCGCAGAUUAGGUAUGACCGCCGGGUUUGGAACCUAAUCUCUAGUAGAACCACGCCCGUGGACUCGCCCCAAACCCGUUGGGUGUAGCUCCUGUCGAAUCGAAGUGCCGGCAGCGUGGGCGUGUGCCUGGGUGUUCGGACAUGGCGCCACCGUGCCGGAGUCAUGUGCAGCUCCGGCCAUUGCCGUUGAGUAUUGGUUAGGCGGCGUACUGACCGUUAGAUUUUCGCCAGUUGGCUAGGAUUAGCUCUGGGGAGGAUGCACCGUGAACCGUUGAUCGGUUAAUCAAUGGGGAUGAUCAGGGGAUUGGAUCCGGGUGGUGUGAACCACUGAUCUCGUAGCGAGUGGUGGAUCGGGGUUCAAAAUGUCUGGGUCGUCUGAUCUUAAUCCAGCGACUAUUAGUGCAUACCGGUUCUGGCGAGGGUUAGAUCUAAUCGGAGCCAUCCAGAAUUGAUCCAACGGCCCUGAUAUGUCGAUACCCCUUCGCCGUUUGAUUUUGUAAAAGAGCCCUGUAGAAUCCAGUAAUCAACCCGGUCUCCUAGGGGAGGUGUAGAUUGUGUCUAGGUUCAUUUUGCGCCUGAAACCCUACCUUCUCUGGUAUUUGACGCGCUGUCCAGGUAAUUAAUAAAACUAGAGAAAAUUAUAUAGGAAAUGAUUUUCAAUAUAAAAUUAAUUGCAGAAACUUAAUUAAUUCCUAGAAAAUGCAUCUUUACUCCUUUUUAGUCCAUUCUAGUUCCUAUAAUUUUGUAAUAAUGUUGUUUAUCACAUAGUGACACUGUUUUAACAUGAAAAUGGUAUUAAAAUUUAUUUCUUAAUUAAUCUCGUAUCAAGUACAUAAAACCUUAGGAAAUUUGUAACUUCUUCGUUUUAAAUCCGAUUUGACUCGUUCCAAUUGCGUUAGCUUCAUAUAAAUAUUUAGUAUACAGUGAUAGUAUUAAUUAUACCAUAUUGCAUAAUUUUAUAGUUAGAUAUUUAUUUAAUCUAUGUUAGUAGAUUUACCCUUUUAAUCAAAGAUUAAUCUGUUUAUGAUUAUAAGGUGACUAAACAUGAUCUAGAUUAAAGUUGAAAUGAUUAUUUAGAGUAUAUUUUCUCAUAAUAAUCAAUUUAUAAUAUAAUUUAAUGUUCAACCACAUAAAUCUCUCAUAGAUCACAACUCCUUAACCGUAACUCCGAUCUUAGUGAUUCUUGAGCCCACGAUCUCGUAGCUUCACGUAGAUCAUUAGUAGUCAAUUUGUCGUUAUGUUUGGUGUAAUGUUAAUUUUGUCUAUACUAUGUUUGUUUGUAUUGCUACGACUAGCAGUGAGGUCACGAGGAUCUCAAGAAUCACCCUGGUAACUGGAAUCUCAAGUGCCAGGCAAGUUGUGCCCUUGAUCCACUUUUGUUACCCAAUAAUAUUCUUUAUUAUCACUAUUCAUGCAUAGGUUUAAUUUUGAUGGGACCCAAUAGGUCACCCUAGAUUGGUUAUUCUUUUUACCUUGUGUACCCCUGAAUCAUUAGGUAGUUAUGCUAUUGCUUUAUAUGGUUUUGGGAUAAUAUUUCAUUAUAUCCAUAUUCCUAAUAUUCUGUUAUGUUAUUUAUGUUCAUGAUAAGAUCAUUAUGUUAAUGGGAACAUGGAGCGACCACCCGAGAAAAUAGUGCUACCACAAGGGUAGUAUGGGAUGCCCUUAGCUGACUAAUUAGGAAAGCUAGUGGAUGACUACCUUACCCAAAAGGGGCAAGGGCAGUAGCGGAGUGGUCAGUGUAGGGAGGUCCUUGGGUUGAUUUUGCUGCGAUGGCGGUCAGGCGAGAGAUCCCUGCAUUGGAGCUUCCUAUAAACUGUAGCGGAUUUUCUGAAGCUAGUGAAACUUUGUAAAGGACUCGUAGUGUUACCCUACCUCGCCUCUUUGGUAGAGGUGUAUGGGAUUCAUGACCCAUUGGCAGAUGGGUAGCAUGACUUGUGGGUAAAGAUGCGCAACCUCUGCAGAGUGUAAAACUGGUAUACUAGUCGUGCUCACGGUCAUGAGCAGCUUGGACCCUCACAUGAUUAAUCUAUGGAAUUAAAACUCAAUUUGUCAUUUGCAUCGCAUUGGGAUUAUUUUAUUAUUACUAUUACUUAUUUUUACUAAGGUUUGGUAUUUACUUAUACUUAGUAAUUGCUAAUAAAAUUUUGACCAACUUAUAAAAGCAAUGCUCAGCUUCAACCUUUAUUUUAUUGAUCAGUCUUACACUUCACAUGAACUCCCACCUUUGGUGAGUUCAUGCACAUUAUUCCCCACAACUUGUUGAGCGAUGAACAUGUGUGAGCUCACCCUUGCUGUCUCACACCCCCCACAGGAGAAGAACAGGUGGUUCAAGAGGAGCCACAUCACGAGGAGUUCGAUUCGAUCUAGGUGGCGUCUCCCAGUAGACUUUCUGGCGCCAAGGAUGGAUUUUAGAUCCUUUUAUAUUUAUCUUUUAUUUUGUAAGACUUCCGCUAUGUAAUAAGUACUCUGAUUAUUGUG